rnacentral:rRNA from 1 species
ACGUAGGAGGCGAGCGUUAUCCGGAGUUACUGGGCGUAAGGCGCAUGUAGGCGGUUGGAUAAGUUGCGUGUGAAAGCUCCUGGCUAAACUAGGAGAGGACAGGCAAGACUGUUCGGCUAGAGGGUGGUAGAGGGGCACAGAAUUCGGGGUGUAGCGGUGAAAUGUGUAGAGAUCCCGAGGAAUACCAGUGGUGAAGACGGUGCCCUGGGCCAUACCUGACGCUGAGAUGCGAAAGCGUGGGGAGCGAACGGGA